rnacentral:misc_RNA from 1 species
GCUGUGGACACAACUGGGAUGACCGAGGACUCCCAUCAGAAGAUUCUGUUGCAGCUCCUCAAGGAGAGAAUAAAUCUUCUCAAUCAGAAGAUUGAACCAAGUCUGACGCGGAUACUGAGUAUGGUGGAGAGUCUAGUAAAGCCAACAGCAAGAGCUGGAUGGCAACUCUCACAGAGGGUGUGGCCAAGAGACUGUUGUCCAUGUUCCUUAUCCAGCCAAUGCAGUCAGAAACCCAGGUGUCAGAGUACGCCCUCUCCUUGGCCCAGGAGGCGGUCAAACUCCACACAGCGGUGGUCCACUUCCUGAUGGGCAGAGACAUGGAGUCUGUAGUCAGUCAGUCUGGAAAGGAUCCGCAUGUACUGGACAAAUGGAUGGUGGUGAGUGAACUCCUGGAGUCGAUUCUUCAUCUUUGUCAUCUAUAUCGACAUGUUGGUGAUGUCAAGGAUGCCAGGGGAUACCUCAGGGAGGGUCUCAAGAUCUCCAAGCGUCUCUGUCUACCAAGAUGGACCACAGAGUUUCUACUUGAACUUGGAAGAAUCAACUCAAUAUCAAGCAAUGAGAAGGAGUGUCUACGGCUACUGAAGGAGACAGCCAUGAUACUCCGACAAAUCCCUGGUAAAGAGGAAGUCAGUGUGUUUGAUCAAAAGCAUCAAAAAGCCAGCGUCAACAAUAAAACUGCCACAGCUAAGAAACCUCGAGCAACUCGUGGCAAGAGUGCAUCCACAAACAAGAAGAAUGAUAAAGUGAAAGAUGAGGAGCUUAUUGACGAUUGUUUUGGGUUUGAGAGUGUCCGAGAUGCAGGAAUUAAGAGACCCUCGGAGAGUGAUGUCGCCUCCAUUCUAGGUCCAAUGAGCUCUCUGUCUUUGGAUGUAGAGCUGCCUGCAUCAGUGCCACACAACACAGACUGCUCCUGCUCCUUGUGUCAAGACAUCAUCGUACAGGGACUUGACCUCCUGUUCUCAGAAACUCUGGGCGAGUUCUAUCAGUAUUCAGGAUCUCUUGAAAAGGGAUGGGAUGAACUCAAGAAGGUUGAAUCCUCUAAGUCUGCUCUAGAAAGAUUGACAGCUGAUAACACAGCUAUUAUACAUGAACAGUUAAAAUCAGCAGAAUUGAUCUCAAAGUCUAACAAGAAGUCAUCGAUACAGCUCCAACCAGUGCUAUUGCCAAGUCUGAGACAGCUCAGUAUUGAAACGUACUGUCUUCUAGCUCAAACAGCUUUGAAGAAAUGCGAGUCUGAGACUGCAGACUUUCUGUCUCGGUCUGCCCUGAAGAUGAUCAACUCGGACACCAGUAAGGACCUGUUGCAGCAGAGUUUCCUCAAGGCCCAGCUACAGCUGGUGCAGAUACAGGCUCGCCUCCAGACCACGGGGGAUGUGUAUGUAGCCAACGACAAGGCACCCCCACCCAAACCAGUGCCAGCCAGGGCUCGGGCUCGCUCCACCAGACAGAAGAAAUCUUCUACUAGCAGGAGGGGCAAGUCAGAGAUUGAAGAGGAAGAUACCCCUGCUGCUGUGGACCACCAGGAUACCACUGUGAAGGACUCCCUGACCUCCGCCUUCACCAACAUCUCUCACUUCCCAUCCAGCGAUGUGUACGGAAACUUGUGUCGCAUGUUAGCCUGCCAGCAUCUCAACACAGAUGAACUGAAGACAGCAUACUACCUCAAUGAGGCAGUUUCCAUUACGUUCAGGCAUCAAGCUCUUGCAAAUACUAGUCGCAAAAUUAGGAAGGUGGAGAAGGAGCUGGCUACAUGUGAGGGGGAACUGGGGACACUAAGGGAGGACCUAGAAGACUUAUGCCGAGUCCGGAGUCUGCUUGCAUUCAACAAGGAAGUGUCACACUUCCAGCAGAUGAUGCAGCAUAUACCCCCAGACUGGACAGUGUGUCAAGUAACGCUAGCAAAGUCAACGCCUGAUACCAAUCGCCUACUGCUGACUCGACUCACCUGUCACACUGAUCCAGUAACCGUGGAACUUCCUGGCUUUGAGUCUGUCCAGGGUCGGAGUAUAUUGCCUGAGUUCAAGGCAAUAAUACAGACAAGCAGCGAGAGCAUGAGGCUGACAGACAAGAAUCAGUGGUGGCAGACUCGCAGGGACCUUAAUGACAGAGUACAGUCUGUAGUAGACUUGAUGGAAAAGUACUGGCUUGGGAAGUGGGUGUGUCUACUACAAGGUCAGCUGUCCUUGGGUCAAAGGUCAAAAGUCAAUGAAGUUCUUACACAGCUGCAGAAAGACAUCAAAAAGUCAUGCAAGACGGUAGUAGAACCACAAGUUCUAGAGCUGUUGCUCACCCUGUGUAUCAGCCUCCCUGUAGACAACCACAGCGACGUGGUCACCAAGAUUGUGAAGGUCAGCGAUGAGGCUGCCCACAAACUCACCACUGCUGUGUCCAAGUGCUGUGAAACUCUUGCCUCAGAUAUGAACUGUCCUUCCAGACAGCCGGUCCUACUCGUCCUAGAUAAGGAUGUCCAGCACCUGCCGUGGGAGAGCCUCCCCAGCCUUCGCAGCCACCCAGUCACCAGGAUCCCGUCUCUCUACCACCUCCACACACAGCUGUCGGCAGGACACAUGUCGGAGUCCCAUGCCUGUGUCCGCGGAAUUGAUAUUCAGAAUGCCUUCUACAUACUCAACCCUGACAAUGACCUCAUGUCAACACAGGAGUCCUUUGAAAACUUGUUUAAAGAGCCAUCUGGAUGGACAGGACUUAUAGGAGAGAAGCCUACCCCCAGUCAGUUCAAGUCAGCAUUGACUGAUCACGACCUCUUCAUCUACUGUGGGCACGGCAGCGGCUGUAAGUACUACUCCGGCAGUGACCUGCAGCAGCUGCGAUGUCGGGCGGUGGCGGUGUUGAUGGGAUGCAGCAGUGGAUAUCUUCAAACCCGUGGGAUCCUGGAGGCCACCGGCAUGAUCAACAACUACUUCCUGGCAGGAUGCCCUACCAUCAUAGCCAACUUGUGGGACGUGACAGACCGCGACAUUGACAGGUUCCUGGGAGGCAUGCUAACAUCUUGGAUGUCAGCAGAAGGGGAAGGCAGCCUACUGGAGGCUGUUCCUGCCGCAAGGGAUCAGUGUCGAUUGCCGUUCCUCAUUGGAGCAGCCCCAGUUGUCUAUGGCUUCCCUGUCAGCUUCAGAAGAUGAUCUGCUUCACACAGUCAUUACUUGACAGGAAAACUGGACACCAGCAGCUAAUAGGGACGGAAAUUCAUCUAGAAAGUACUAGUCUACAUAGCUGCCCUUACUAUCAGGCUAUGGCUGAUUAAAUACCUAAUUACUUUGACGUUACUGGUAGUAAUCAGUGAAUGUAAAUU